rnacentral:tRNA from 1 species
GCCUCGGUAGCUUAACACCAAAGCACUGGUCUUGUAAACCAGAGAAUGGGUCAUUAACCACCCCCGAGACA